UACGUAGGUGGCAAGCGUUGUCCGGAUUUACUGGGCGUAAAGAGCGUGUAGGCGGCCAAACAGGUCCGUUGUGAAAACUGGAGGCUCAACCUCCAGACGUCGACGGAAACCGUGUGGCUAGAGUCCGGAAGAGGAGAGUGGAAUUCCUGGUGUAGCGGUGAAAUGCGCAGAUAUCAGGAAGAACACCAAUGGCGAAGGCAGGUCUCUGGGCCGAUACUGACGCUGAGGAGCGAAAGCGUGGGGAGCGAACAGG
rnacentral:rRNA from 1 species